GAUGAACGCUGGCGGCGUGCUUAACACAUGCAAGUCGAACGAAGCUCCCGAACCUGAGAUUCGUCAAGGGGGAAGGAUGACUUAGUGGCGGACGGGUGAGUAAUGCGUGAGCAACCUGCCCUUCAGAGGGGGACAACAGUUGGAAACGACUGCUAAUACCGCAUAAUGUAUUCGGAUGGCAUCAUUUGAAUACCAAAGAUUUAUCGCUGAAGGAUGGGCUCACGUCUGAUUAGCUAGUUGGUGAGGUAAUGGCUCACCAAGGCUUCGAUCAGUAGCCGGACUGAGAGGUUGGCCGGCCACAUUGGGACUGAGAUACGGCCCAGACUCCUACGGGAGGCAGCAGUGGGGAAUAUUGGGCAAUGGGCGCAAGCCUGACCCAGCAACGCCGCGUGAAGGAAGAAGGCUUUCGGGUUGUAAACUUCUUUUGGUCAGGGACGAAAAAAUAGACGGUACCGUGUCAGAAUAAGACUCCGGCUAACCUACGUCGUCCACGCAGCCGCGGUAAACCG
rnacentral:rRNA from 1 species